rnacentral:rRNA from 1 species
UACGGGGGGGGGCAAGCGUUGUUCGGAAUUACUGGGCGUAAAGGGCUCGUAGGCGGCCAACUAAGUCAGACGUGAAAUCCUCCGGCUCAACUGGGAGGGGACGGCCGAUACGGCUGGGCUUGAGCGAGGUAGGGGAGAGUGGAAUUCCCGGUGUAGUGGUGGAAUGCGUAGAUAUCGGGAGGAACACCAGUGGCGAAGGCGGCUCUCUGGACCUCUGCUGACGCUGAGGCGCGAAAGC